AUUGAACGCUGGCGGCAGGCCUAACACAUGCCAGUCGAACGGUAACAGGAAGAAGCUUGCUUCUUUGCUGACGAGUGGCGGACGGGUGAGUAAUGUCUGGGAAACUGCCUGAUGGAGGGGGAUAACUACUGGAAACGGUAGCUAAUACCGCAUAACGUCGCAAGACCAAAGAGGGGGACCUUCGGGCCUCUUGCCAUCGGAUGUGCCCAGAUGGGAUUAGCUAGUAGGUGGGGUAACGGCUCACCUAGGCGACGAUCCCUAGCUGGUCUGAGAGGAUGACCAGCCACACUGGAACUGAGACACGGUCCAGACUCCUACGGGAGGCAGCAGUGGGGAAUAUUGCACAAUGGGCGCAAGCCUGAUGCAGCCAUGCCGCGUGUAUGAAGAAGGCCUUCGGGUUGUAAAGUACUUUCAGCGGGGAGGAAGGGAGUAAAGUUAAUACCUUUACUCAUGGACGUUACCCGCAGAAGAAGCACCGGCUAACUCCGU
rnacentral:rRNA from 1 species